GGGGAAUCUUGGACAAUGGGGGCAACCCUGAUCCAGCGAUGCCGCGUGAAUGAAGAAGGCCCUUGGGUUGUAAAGUUCUUUCACCUGUGACGAUAAUGACGGUAACAGGAGAAGAAGCCCCGGCUAACUCCGUGCCAGCAGCCGCGGUAAGACGGAGGGGGCUAGCGUUGUUCGGAAUGACUGGGCGUAAAGGGCGCGUAGGCGGUUGAUUAAGUGAGACGUGAAAGCCUCGGGCUUAACCUGAGAACGGCGUUUGAUACUGGUGGACUUGAGGACGAGAGAGGAAAGUGGAAUUCCGAGUGUAGAGGUGAAAUUCGUAGAUAUUCGGAGGAACAUCAGAAGCGAAGGCGGCUUUCUGGCUCGUCCCUGACGCUGAGGCGCGAAAGCGUGGGGAGCAAAC
rnacentral:rRNA from 1 species